AGGGUUUGAUCAUGGCUCAGAACGUACGCUGGCGGCACGCCUAACACAUGCAAGUCGAACGAAGUAGCAAUACUUAGUGGCAGACGGGUGAGUAACAUGUAGGUAUCUGCCCUUUGGCCUGGAAUAACACGAGGAAACUUGUGCUAAUACCGGAUAAGUCUUUACAGAGAAAGCUUUAUGCACCAUUGGAUGAGCCUGCACUUGAUUAGUUUGUUGGUGGGGUAAUGGCCUACCAAGACUGUGAUCAAUAGCUGAUUUGAGAGGAUGAUCAGCCACAUUGGGACUGAGACACGGCCCAAACUCCUACGGGAGGCAGCAGUGGGGAAUCUUGCACAAUGGAGGAAACUCUGAUGCAGCGAUGCCGCGUGAGUGAAGAAGGCCCUUGGGUUGUAAAGCUCUUUCGUCGGGGAAGAAAAUGACUGUACCCGAAUAAGAAGGUCCGGCUAACUUCGUGCCAGCAGCCGCGGUAAUAC
rnacentral:rRNA from 1 species